GGACAUUUCUGAAGAUAUGGGUGAGGUUCUUCUACAAUUCAGUAAGUAGAACACAUGCACACGUCCAUUAGGCCUACAUAUUUCUUGAUCAAGGAUUUUAAUUUUAGGUAUCUCACCCAAGAGGACAACCCGGUGUCUACUGCUUCUGACGACACAGUAAGUUGCUAAAAAUGGCUAAAAUAUUCAAGUUAGGCGUUUUUUGUUUUGUUUGUGCAUGCACACUAGUUUACUGUAAAUAAUCAUAAGAUAAUUCCAUAACCCAAACUUCUACCGGAUGUUGCUUAAAGUAGAGCACAAAUUGGAAAUAACAUAUUACUUUAUCCGUUCCAUAUUGCAGCAAUACCCAUAUUUUUAUCAUGUUAGAAAACAACAAAAAAGAAGUUUUGAUUCGUGUGCAAAUGCAGCAUCUCUCUCAGCUGGCCACAUACAAAAUCACAGAACGUGUCUCAUUGUGUCUUGCCAGAUGAAGACAAAAGGGGGCACAGAAUAAAAAAAAAAGAAUAAUUUAUGAUCUAAUGACCAAAAAAAAUCAAUGGAAAGGACUGUUAAAAAUAUAAUCAAAUACAUUUGAGCCGGACUUCAAAUGCACACUGCAAAAAUGAACCAUCUAAAUGCAAGUAAAAAUUACUUAAUUUGAGAAGGUAAAGACUUAAAACAAGUUAAUUUAUCUGCCAGUGCAGUAAGAUUAUUACACUUAGUAAUACACAGUAAGAUUUCUUGAGAUAAGAAAAAUGUUCUAGGCAUCAGAAAGGUGAUACAUGUCUUGUAAUGAGUGGUAAAACACUAAUUUCAAGCACUGUAUUAAGUCAAAUAAACUCAAAAUAAGAUGUCCAUUCUUCUUUCAGUUUUUUUCCUUUCUUAAUUUUAGUGAAAGGUUCUUAAAAGCAGAACCACUAUACAAGACAAUUUCACUUAAUUCAAGACUGUUCAUUAUUAGCUUGUGCGGCUUAAAAUGAGACAAAGCAUGAAUACGAUCAUUGUCAACAACAAUUUAUUUAGAUUUUGUGCCCUUUAACACACUUGUUGCUUUUCAAAAUAUUACAUAUUCUCAAUUACGGAAGCAUUGCAACAGAAAACAUGUGAUACAACUUUGAGGUCAUUAUGGUUAUGUGUCAUCGUCACUGAAUCUGAUUACCUGACAUUCAGAUACAGAAAAAAGUAUUAAGUUUCAAAUUUUCUGUUCAUUCCACCUCCUGUAAUGUUUAUAAACCUAGUUAACCGUCAUUGGCCUCUAUUAACUUUUUAGAUCCAACAUUUGCAGCACAAAAUAUGCUUUGAUGAUUAAAGGAACAAAGAACAAGGCAAUCAGAGAAUACUUGAACAAAAAGGAAGAAAGAAUUUUCUCUUGACAAACUCCAAUGCACACUACUAUCGAUUUAGAGUACCGCGACAGUGAAACUGGUGGUGCCAGUUAUUCUAGUAUAGUAGUUUAACACAGUGAACACCUCUACAUCCCAAUAAAAUCCUUCCAUUCUGUCAUGGCUUUUUUGUAUGAGGUCGUCAUGUCUAAUAUUUCUGUCUGAAUGACUGAGAGGAGGGUUGCCACACACUUUGGAUAGGUGAGAUGCAGAGUGUAGUAGUAAGCCAUCAGAUAAAGCAAACCUUCACAAAGGUCUUCCUUGGCAAAUGUGGUGAUGGGAGUGGUUCCAAAUGUGACAAGACAGCGGGACCCAUCAAAGAGCAAAACAAGUGCAGAGUGUGGUCUCUUCUGAAGGUAGAUGGUGGGAUCUUCUGUUGGCUAAUAAAAAGAAGAAAGAAACAAAUCUGAGAAAUGUCUUUAAGGGUACAAAAAAAAAAACACAAGACACCACUGUGGUGGUAUAUGAAAACAAACUGUCCUGUGUUUUAAACACAGGACCAAAAGAAAUUAAAUGAUAAUUAAAUCAAAUAAUGGCACGGGAAAGACUAGCACUCCUAGUGGUGGCUCAAAAAGCCCUUUUUGUGGACACGCCCCUUGAUUGUUCAACAAUUUUUGGGAACAAACUCACCUGAAGGACAUGAAGCAAUGCCUCACUGGCUUUCCCAACUUCUUCGGUGGGGCAGUUGGUGAAGGAAAGAGGGCAGGAAGUGCCUUGAAUAGAGCUAUGGCAUAUUCCACUAGAACAAAAACAAAUGUUCUCAGAAUUCAGAGAAUUAUCUUUUAUCCUUAUCGCAACCAUGAAAAAAGCCACACAGUAUAUUAGAGACGCAGCAGAAUGCCCUACCUGCAUCCAGGUUCAUGGGCGGCUUCAUCACUUUCUUUGAAACACCGUAAAAUUGCACCUUGGCACAGAAGUCUUCCCAUCUCUUCUUUACUUCAUCUAUGUAUGUGAUGUUGUCCUUAUCCAGGAUUCGUUGCAGCUCACUCAUCACCUGUAAUGCAAUAAGUGUUAACUCCUGCAAUAAUGAUUGUUUUUUUUGAUGAGCUGAAAUAACAAAUAAAUUACGCUUACGUGAUGAAGAUCCUUAAAACAAGGGUAGGCGUCGAGGAUCUUUGUUGGCCUGUCCUCUUCUUUCAUGGCAUCACUGUCGAUGAAGGCUCUUCUUGCUUCAAACUCGAGGUCAAGGAUUUGGUGGACCGCAUCUUUGUUUGGUUUUGUUUUCUUGAACAUCUCCGGCAGAGUUUUAUAAGGUCUGGCCUGUAUGAUCAGACUGUCUUUUUCAGCUAAAAUGGAGAACAAAAAUCAGUAAUGGGUAUCAAACAUGUCAAUCUGAAUGAUAAUAUAGGUUCAGUGUAACAAUUAACAAAAUUAGCGAUGCUGAAUGACCUAUAUACUAAUGCAAUUUUGAAGGAAAAUAGUUAAGUAAUUAUUUAUUACAAUACAUUUCUCCAAUAAAGAAAAGGAACAAUGUGUGUGCUGUUAAUUAUAGUUCUUAGAAAUGAAAUCAACAUCAGCAGGUCAGACUUGCAUCAUAAGAAAUUGGAAAAUAUAGUGAUAAAACCACCUUACUGUAAAUCUCCACCAGACAAAAAGCAAUAUUGUGCAUGUUAUACAUCAACAUAUGCCCUUCCUGCUUUUUAGAGCCAAAUGGAUGCAAUCAAAUAAAAAAUCAUCAGUAACAGCUAAAUAUAUCAAAACAGAAUCAGAAUUAAACUAAAAUGAUCAGUGUCUGUAUUCUGAUAGACAAUUCUUAGUCUUCAUGCUACACAAUUCCAACUUACGUGACCUGUUGCCAUCAUCAGAACUGCUCCCAGAUGUUUGAUGCAAAAUAAUUGUUGAUGCACCACUUGGGUCUGCAUCAUUUUCUUCUCUGUCACUCGAUGAGAAGUCAAUGAGACUCCUUUUCUUUGAAUGGCCCCUCUCUGGAGUGGGCCCCUGCCUCUUUUGUGGGGACUUCACAUUCUGCAGCCUCUUGUGAAGAUUGUUGUAAAUGCUCAUCUGUGGUAAAAACAAAAGGUUUGGUUAUAAUUAGAUGCCUUCUUUUUAUGUUACAGAUAAACCACGGCAGACAAAAUAAAUAAACAAACAUAUUUACCACAAAUUUAAAUCACUUACAUGCUUCAUAGUUUUGUCUUUAUCUUUUUAUCUUUAUCUGUUUAAAUGGAAAUAUGACAAAAUGACAAUCAAACAUAUGUCAUUCAAAUCCGCCUUUUCAUCCCGGAAUUGCGUAAGUGUAUAUGUAAAUUACACGGUGUCAUAGAAUGACCCCCCCCCAACUUGUCUUUUGGUAUCGACCAACCAAAUGCGCAAGGCUGCUCGUGCCCGUCAAAGCCGACAUGAAUCAACAAUUUCCUCGUUUGCUGUCUGCAAUUGUGGAUUAAACAUCACGCUCUUUGUGCUACGUGUAGUUUGCAAGUAUAGUUAUUUUUUGCCCUUGCUGUCUUAGCAAUUCUUGAUUUUGUCGUUAAUGUUUCAGUUUCAUAAAAAACUACACUAACUGUCAGCUUUCAUUAGCUAGCUAGCUAGCUAGCAACUUUUAACAUAAUGGCUUGCUGGAGGUGUGUUAUUUGCUUCGUUUUUGUUGCCUUAACAUUAAAGUCUCUCUUGAGCCAUAUCAACACAGCACAUAGUCGAAACCCCGAUUUCCGUGUUAUAUGCGGAAUUGAUGGAUGUACCGAAGAAUACAGAGUAUACAACUCCUUCUACUACCAUAUCAGAUGCACACAUGCUCUGUAUCUUGCAACUGGGCACCCACCCACCAGAGGGAUGACAGCAGCUACAUCUGAGCCAUCUAGGGUUGGAAGAGAACAUUUUGAUCUACCAAUUUUUUCUGACUGUGCCACUGUAGGAUAUUAGAAACAAAUAUACGACCCGGUUCAUAAAAUUAAUAAAAAUGCAUAUAGUGUACACCAGAAUACAGCCAUGAUUCUGAAACUGUAAUCCAUAAAGUAAUGACAAUAUUGUAAAACUACUGUAAAUCUGCAGCUGUACUAGAAUAAUACCAAUGUAGUUAUGAUUGUAUUUGAUGUAAUGUAAUCAACUGGAAUGCAUGCAUGUAAUACUUGCACAACAACUGAUAUUGACCAAGGAUCAUUCGAAAUCCGAGUUACAUUGAACUCACCAGAAGACCACUCCCAGAGGUGUGGACACUGACUUUCACACCUUUAAGCAUUGCUAUAAAUACCUGUAGGAACCAUUGUUCUGGAGUUCGCUGGUGGAGGCUACAGACGGGCACUAGGGAUGGUCAAAGGACUGACCUGGGGCCUGUUGGUUGCUGAGACCAGCGGCUCCUCAGCUGAGAUGUUCUUUUUACCGCAACGCCAUCUCCUUUAUUAAAUACAUUUGAUUUUAACCUUUUGAUCAGCGAUGACCUCUGUCCGUCUGGCGUUUCUUCAUUUUUGAACACAACACCACUCAAACAAGAGGGAUGCAAAGGACCAGCAGUGAAGUCCGCACAAGUGUCACCCCAAAUGAAAUGCCUCAGCCUCAGCUUGAUGAUUCCCAGAUUCAACAUACUGAUCAUCAGGAAUGUGCUGGUACAUCACAUGAGGCUCUUACCAGACGUGCAGCAGCGUUUGUCAUUAAUGUCCGGGAACAAUGCCACCUGUCCCAGAUGAACCAACCCAUACCUGGCCCUAGCUCUUCACCUGGGGAGCCAGUAGAGGAACAUCUAGAAGACCUCACAAGUCCAACUUUAGACCAGAAACCAACAAAGGAACAGGUGGAACUCCUGCUGCUGGCAUUAAAACUCAAACACGGAUUAACAAAUGGAGCCUCGAAGGACAUCAUGCAUCUUAUCAACUUUAAAGCUGGUCCUGGUGGGGAAUUGGUUAGUGGCUCAAAGUACCUUUUCUACAAAGAUUUGAUUCAGUGAAAGACAUAUUAGAAGUGCAUUAUGUGUGCAAGAGUUGCAACGUAAACAUGCAGGAAGGUCCCUUUAAUGUCAAGUGCCCAGUGUGUGACCAGGACACAUCAAAAGCGCAUGCACAAAAAGACCAGUGUUUUUUGUACUUGCCACUAAAAUACCAUAUUAAAAAACUGCUUGAUGACCACCAAUUAGGGGAACACCUGAAACACCGUUUUGAGAAGGAUGCCUACAUCAAAGAUAUACACGAUGGACAUUUAUACAAAAAACUAUCACGCCUUGCAUCACCAGACAACAUAUCACUGACUUUCAACUGUGAUGGAGUGCCAGUGCACAAAUCAAACACAAAAAGUCUGUGGCCAAUUUUGUGUACUGUUAAUGAACUGCCAAUACAACUACAUGCAAGACAUAUUAUGCUUUGUGGUUUGGUCAAAACAAACCAAAUAUGAACACUUGAAACCAUUUGUCGAUGAAUGGAGUUGUCCUCUAAUGGUCUUACGUGGCAAAGUGAAAUUGGGGAAGUUGUCACAAGUAAAGUACUCCUCACUACCAUGGUGGCAGAUUCAGUGGCCCGGCCAAUGAUUCAGAACUUUAAUGGAGAGUUUGGGUGUUCUUUUUGUAUGCAGAAAGGAACAAGUGUGUUAAAACGCAGGGGGCAUGUAAGGGCUUAUCCCUAUGAAAAAGCAGAGUUGAGGAAUCCCGCCCAGACUGAUGAUCUGGUAGAAGAGGCUCUUGCUGGAAACCCCACUAAGGGAGUGAAAGGGCCUAGUAUUUUGUCUUGCCUAGCUGAUUUUAAUAUCAUUGAUGGCUGUGUUCCAGAUUAUAUGCACAGUGUGCUGCUGGGUGUAGCAAGAAGCAUUACAACGUUGUGGUUUAAUUCUGAAAACAACCAUGGUAUAUCGGACGCUCAACAGAACAGAUUGAUGACAUUAGAACUUCUAUUAAACCCGCCUGUAAUGUUUCCCGUGUCCCCCGCUCAGUGAAAGUCACACGAGUGGAACAUGUGGUUGUUUUAUUACAGCAUACCAAUAUUGAAAGGGAUCUUACCUGAAAACUAUCUGAAGCACUGGUUUAAGUUGGUAAAGGGCUCUUCUACUUGGUGAGAAU
ensembl:lncRNA